CCUACGGGGGGCUGCAGUGGGGAAUAUUGGACAAUGGGCGAAAGCCUGAUCCAGCCAUGCCGCGUGUGUGAAGAAGGCCUUCGGGUUGUAAAGCACUUUCAGUGGGGAAGAAAGCCUUGGGGCUAAUACCCUCGAGGAAGGACAUCACCCACAGAAGAAGCACCGGCUAACUCCGUGCCAGCAGCCGCGGUAAUACGGAGGGUGCGAGCGUUAAUCGGAAUUACUGGGCGUAAAGCGCGCGUAGGCGGUCUGAUAAGCCGGUUGUGAAAGCCCCGGGCUCAACCUGGGAACGGCAUCCGGAACUGGCAGGCUAGAGUGCAGGAGAGGAAGGUAGAAUUCCCGGUGUAGCGGUGAAAUGCGUAGAGAUCGGGAGGAAUACCAGUGGCGAAGGCGGCCUUCUGGACUGACACUGACGCUGAGGUGCGAAAGCGUGGGUAGCAAACAGGAUUAGAUACCCUAGUAGUC
rnacentral:rRNA from 1 species